rnacentral:rRNA from 1 species
GAUUCUGGCUCAGGAUGAACGCUGGCGGCGUGCCUAAUACAUGCAAGUCGAACGAGGGUGCUUGCACCCUAGUGGCGAACGGGUGAGUAACACGUAGGUAACCUGCCCUUAAGCUUGGGAUACCCAGAGGAAACUUUGGCUAAUACCGGAUAACAACAGAAGAGGCAUCUCUUCAGUUUGAAAGGCCCUUUACGGGGUCACUUAAGGAUGGACCUGCGGCGCAUUAGCUAGUUGGUGAGAUAACAGCCCGCCAAGGCGAGGAUGCGUAGCCGACCUGAGAGGGUGAUCGGCCACAUUGGAACUGAGACACGGUCCAAACUCCUACGGGAGGCAGCAGUAAGGAGUUUUCGGCAAUGGGGGAAACCCUGACCGAGCAACGCCGCGUGAGUGAAUGACGGCCCUAUGGGUUGUAAAGCUCUGUUGUAAGGGACGAAUGAUUCGCUUAGGAAAUGAAGCGGAUUUGACGGUACCUUACCAGAAAGCCACGGCUAACUACGUGCCAGCCGCCGC